GCGAGGUUGGAUUCCUUUCUGGGGGCUCUGGGGAUGAACCCACUUCCAAGCUCAUCCAAUCUGUUGGCAGAAGUCAGUUUCUUACGUGUGGGUUCCCUUGGGGUCCCCGCGUCCCUGCUGGCUGUCAGCUGACAGCUGACUCACUCUCCUUGACCCAUGGCCACUCCUCUGUCUUCAGAUCCAGCAACGCACGAAGCCCAGGAGUCUGCCCGGCAGAAGUGAGCUACCCCCGCAAGCCGGAGAAAGAGGGCCAGCCACGCAGGGCCUGCUUUCCUUGGGGGAACAGGGCAGCACUCGGUCUCCGUGAUGUUUUUCCCAUUCUGCAGUACCCUCUGCCUACAGAAACGCUCACAACCCAAGUGGCAGGGGUCAGCCCACCGGUGUAAUCGUCUUGCAGAAGUUCAGCGAAAGCCAGAUAGUGGCCUGGAGAAGGGCUCUGUCAUUUCGUUGCUGGUGGUUACAACGAUCCACACGGGGUAUUCCCCCGGCAGUGGAUCUUCCACCCCCCUCCGCCCGAUGGCAGCCGGUACGUGCACGUGUCUGUCGGACAUGACCCACGUGGCGUCUCCGCGAUCAUUCUCCUCGUGGCGUGCGCGUCUGGACCACGAGGUCGCUUCCGAGAAUUCCUGGACUCGGAGACGGGGUCAGCGCGGGGUGGCGUUGGUGCGUCGCUAAACCUCCACGAAGAGAAGAUUGCCGGUCGGCGCAAGGACUGAAGACGUGAGUGUGCGGAUGCUGUUUUCUGUGUUCGUGGCAAGAUGGUGGCCAGGGGGAUCCACGCUAUCGAAGCUUGGGGCCAAGCAAGGCAGCACCUUUCCGGCAGGUGAGCCCUGUUUCUCCGCGCCUCCCGUCCUGGUGCACGGGAGGCCUUGGAGAGGGAAAACACGUCCGAUCCCUGAGACUCCUCUGAAUUUCAGGCCAAAUUUUCCUGUGUGUUAUAGCUAUGGAAAACAGGUUCACAUGGCCCCAGGAGUUUAGUUGUUUAUAUGAAAUGCGUACCAAGUCCUGCCAGGUAAAUAGGCUCUUAGGUCUUUAAGAACGUUGACGGAUUGGCCGAUGAAUCCAUUCAUUUCCUCAUUGAAUCAAACAACUGAGCAGGGACUGUGCGCCGGGCCGACACCUCCCCGGGAUGCCGAGAGGAAUAAGGCGGUGCCCUGCGCUGGAGGGGUCUGGACUCUAAUGACAGGUGACCCUCAGGAACGAGAUGCUUCCGCGGAGACGUUAGGAGCUGCGACAGAGGGAGGAGCCAGAGGAGGGGCGCCAGUUCUGCAGAAGAACACGGGACACUUUCGAGGGGGGCUUCUAAACCAGGGUGAUAACAGAAUGGCAAAAUACGGUGGCAGUUGUGUCACCGCGAAGAGGAAGCAGCGGGGACGUCCAUGCGUUGCUGGUGGGAGGCGCGGCGGCCACGACCUCGGCACUGCUUUGCCAGGUACCUGCUAAAGGUAAAUAUAGGGUCACGAUGUUCCCACGAGGCAGGAACCCCACUCCUGGGUGGACACCCCAGGUAGGUGUGUGCCCAUGCCCGGCACGUGGCACUCACGAGAAUGCUCGUUGACGGUCUACUCACAACACUUAAAAACUGGACACAACCCAAGUUUCCAUUAAAUAAUUUGAGGUAUAUCCCUACGAUGGAAUCGUAUGCAGCAAAAAAGACGAAGCUACCAAACGAACUAACAAAUACGCGGAACAGAACGUUAUCACUUAACGUCCCAGGACGCGUAAAGGACCCUCACGUUUGUUGGAAUUGGGAGCAGAUCGGCUGGGGCAGAGAUUUUCUUCCCAGAUGCUCUGGUUCCAGAAGGCAGAGGAGCAGGAAGGGCCCAGAACUGGGCAGAGACCGCGUGGAGCUCGUCUCGCACACAGCACGGUGAUGUGAAUUUUCUACAGUGAUGCCCGCUUUUUAAGCAUGAGCACCUACUUCAGAUUUUUUUCCAGGGAAGUUUUUUUAUUGACUUACGAGCAUUUUCAAGCACGUUGAAAAGUACAGAAAAAAAUGUAAUAACCACCCUAAUACAUCCAUCAAUCCAGGAUGGCCACCUCUAGGAUGGAGAUCGUGGUCGCGGGUCACGGGGACCAAGCCGGCAGAUUGAAGCCUGAUGUCAUUAGGAUGCCUAACGCAGGACGGGGGACAACAUUCUUUCGGGGGAUGAUGAAGCGGGGUACUUUCUUGCCUCCGUGAAGGUGCUUUUGCAACAGCAGGAGCUGGAAUGAGAGCAAAUCAAGCUCGAGGGGCCUGAGACUGUCAUCCAGGGGAGGCACUGUGGUUACCCAGCCCUGGGGUCAUCCAGGGGAAGCACUGUGAGCCUCAUCAGAGACACGUCGACAGCAAACGCCUGCAGGUUCUUAGGCAGCUGGUAAAAAAUGUAUCACAACUUCCGGAGAGUGGCUGUUUAGAUCAGAUCACUGCCAUCUGAUUCGCAAAUACUCCGAGAAGCUGGUGAAACUCCAUACCCCUGGAUGGCAUGCUCUGCUGGUCAUGGCUGUCCUGCAAGCCUGGGGAGCUGUGCUUGGAUAGAUAAAAGCUGCUCUGGAAGCCUGUGUCUGAAGCUCCAUCAACAGGUCGAGCUGCGAGGAGGCUGACCACAGAAGUCAGAGUGGCGACCUGUAAAACCCUGGCUUAGGAAAAUCUGCCUCCAUUGCUCAUCGGCUUUACUCAGAGCGGUUUGAACUAAAUGUGAGCUUGGGUAAGGAAUAAGUGCCCUGUUCAUGAAUGCCCAGGCUGUUAAACAAAAAUAGCCCACAGGAAACGGUAUUGCAAAGGUCAGUUCUUCUGGAAAGGAAGGGACAAGAAACCAUCUAUCUGAAAUUUUAAUGAGCAGAUCCUGGCCUCUGACCCCGUAGCCUGACCUAACAAUCCAAUACUGGAUGCCACGUCGGUUUCCAUUUCCUGUGAACGAGGAGGCAGAGUUCGUAUCCAAAGGCCAACCAUCUGCCGGACGUAAGAUUCUGUCUGCCUAGCUGGCUGUUAUGGAUGGGCACGGAGUCUUUAUGGAUAGAGUGUCAGUCCAGACCCCUUGCUUCACAGACAUGGGAAAUUAAAUGGUUAAGAAACCAGG